GGGGACAACACGUGAGGGUUGCUGUGCCCCUCUGCCACCCCUCGUGGCCGCCAGCGCGUCCCUGUGCCACCCCGUGUCACCGUGCCCACACGUCCCACGUCCCCACGUCGCCUCCUGGUGCCCCAGAUCCCAGCGCCACCCCAUGUGCCACCCCACACGUCCCAGGUCCCCAUGUCACCUCCUGUGCUCCAAACCCCUGUGCCACCCCACACGUCCCAGGUCCCCACGUCACCUCCUGUGCCCCAGAUCCCAGUGCCACCCACUGUGCCCCGUUCCCAUGUGCCACCCCAUGUGCCACCCCACACGUCCCAGGUCCCCAUGCCACCUCCUGUGCCCUAAACCCUGUGCCACCCCAUGUGCCCAUGUCUGUGGGUCCCAGGUCCCCACAUGCCCCGUUCCCAUGUGCCACCCCACACGUCCCAGGUCCCCACAUCACCUCCUGGUGCCCCAGAUCCCUGUGCCACCCCAUGUGCCCGUGUCCAGGUCCCCAUGUGUCCCAUUCCCAUGUGCCACCCCACACGUCCCAGGUCCCCACGUCACCUCCUGUGCCCCAAACCCCUGUGCCCAUGUCUGUGGGUCCCAGGUCCCCACAUGCCUCGUUCCCCUGUGCCACCCCACACGUCCCAGGUCCCCACAUCACCUCCUGGUGCCGCAAAUCCCAGUGCCACCCCAUGUGCCACCCCACACAUCCCAGGUCCCCACGUCACCUCCUGUGCCCCAAACCCCUGUGCCACCCCCUGUGCUCAUGUCUGUGGGUCCCAGGUCCCCACAUGCCCCGUUCCCCUGUGCCACCCCACAAGUCCCAGGUCCCCACGUCACCUCCUGUGCCCCAAACCCCAGUGCCACCCCAUGUGCCACCCCACACAUCCCUGGUCCCCACAUCGCCUCCUGGUGCCCCAAAUCCCAGCGCCACCCCAUGUGCCCCAUUCCCCUGUGCCACCCCACACGUCCCAGGUCCCCACGUCACCCCAUGUGCCCCAAAUCCCAGCGCCACCCCCCGUCCCACAUCCCAGUGCCAACCCGUGUGUUUCCCCACAUCACCCCAUACACCCCAUAUCCCCGUGUGCCCCACAUCUCAGUGCCACCCCACGUGCCCCACAUUACCCCACAUCACCCCAUAUACUCCAUAUUCCCAUGUCACCCCAUGUGCCCCACACCACCCCAUCACCCC
ensembl:lncRNA